rnacentral:lncRNA from 1 species
GCAGUAAACCGACUGUCCCUAGCGCAAGUGGCUAAGGGUUUGGUGGUUCGUACUCGAUGUCCUAAGUUCGAAUCCUAGUUGACUCACAUUUCGAGCUAAGUUUAUUUCUAAAUGAAAUAAACGAAACAGGUAGCAUGCUAGCUAUCUCUCUCAAAAAAAAAGUUUCAAUAAAGAAAGGCUCUUCCCUUAUCCUAUCACUAUACU